GUAGGUGUAAUCUGCAGAAACACGGCCCAUCAUCACCAUCCCAGACACUUCCCUGCACCUGUUCUGCGCCAGCGUGAGAGGGCCCAGGGUGCUGUGGCAGCGUGGAGGAGGGGCGCCUCUCCCACCUGGGAGGAGCCCAAGAGGAGCUCUGAAAGAUCUGAUAACUUGAGGGACUCCUAGAGUACACCUGAGGACCACUGUUUGAGAAAUGCUAUCCGAGGGAAUGAAGUCAGUCUAUGAAAACAUCUCUCAAUUGCGAAUGAUCCCUACAGAUGAGAAAUUGUGAUUUGGCCGCUGGGAAUACCGGUUCAAGCCCUGGUCCGGGAAGAUUCCACAUGCCGCGGAGCAACUAAUCCUGUGCGCCACAACUACUGAGCCUGCGCUCUAGAGCCCACGAGCCACAACUACUGAAGCCCGCGCGCCUAGAGCCCGUGCUCUGCAACAAGAGAAGCCACCACAGUGAGCAGCCCGUGCACCACAACGAAGAGUAGCCCCCGCUCACCGCAACUAGAGAAAGCUCACGCGCAGCAACGAAGACCCAAUGCAGCCAAAAAAAAAAAA